UACGGAGGGUGCAAGCGUUAUCCGGAUUCACUGGGUUUAAAGGGUGUGUAGGCGGACUGUUAAGUCAGAGGUGAAAUCUCCGGGCUCAACCCGGAAACUGCCUUUGAUACUAUCAGUCUUGAAUCUUGUUGAGGUGGGCGGAAUAUAUCAUGUAGCGGUGAAAUGCUUAGAUAUGAUAUAGAACACCGAUUGCGAAGGCAGCUCACUAAGCAAGCAUUGACGCUGAGGCACGAAAGCGUGGGGAUCAAACAGG
rnacentral:misc_RNA from 1 species